GUGGUGAUUCGUGAUUAUUGGGUCUAAAGGGUCCGUAGCCGGUUUGGUCAGUCCUCCGGGAAAUCUGACAGCUCAACUGUUAGGCUUUCGGAGGAUACUGCCAGACUUGGAACCGGGAGAGGUAAGAGGUACUACAGGGGUAGGAGUGAAAUCUUGUAAUCCCGUGUGGGACCACCUGUGGCGAAGGCGUCUUACCAGAACGGGUUCGACGGUGAGGGACGAAAGCUGGGGGAGC
rnacentral:rRNA from 1 species